rnacentral:lncRNA from 1 species
GGGUGAAGGAAGUAAAAGGUAUUGCUACAUUUGCUGUGGCUUUGGCAACCGAAGGUUUGAGUGGACUCUUUCACUUUUCUAAGGCUGCUACAGGUGGGAAACUUCAGAGACUUGGUUGUCCCUUGCUUUGGAUUUUGAGGGGUGCUCAUGCUUGAGUCAAUAUACUUCACGACUUUUGAAGUUUGAAAAAGAUAGGUAUGGUAGCCUAGCUUGAGGUGUAUUUGCCCAUCCACAACUUUCUCGAGGUUCUUCAGUCGAUAUGGGCUUGCUCUUCCUCGGUGCUUGGAUUCUUCCACCAUUAGAGGGUAGGCCUAUUU